CUUCAUAGUACAUAAGUACAGUAUAGGUAGCUUCAUACUACAUAAGUACAGUAUAGAUAGCUUCAUAGUACAUAAGAACAGUAUAGGUAGCUCCAUAGGACAUAAGUACAGUAUAGGUAGCUUCAUACUACAUAAGUACAGUAUAGGUAGCUUCAGAGUACAAAAGUACAGUAUAGUAGCUUCAUAGUACAUAAGUACAGUAUAGGUAGCUUCAUACUACAUAAGUACCGUAUAGGUAGCUCCAUACUACAUAAGUACAGUAUAGGCAGCUUCAUAGUACAUAAAUACAGUAUAAGAAGUUUCAAAGUACAUAAGAACAGUAUAGGUAGCUUCAUACUACAUAAGUACAGUAUAGGUAGCUUCAGAGUACAAAA